GGCUGAGUUGCUGGCAUCAGCCAAGGGUACACAAAGGUACCAGCUGAAAGGUCUUCCACCCAGAAGACUGCAGGCCAGCUCUGAUUCCUGAGAUUUCUUGAAAGGGAAAACAGUAUACAUGUUGACCCUUGAGUUCUGCAGAAACAGCACUUGGUGAUCCAGGCGCAGUUGGUAGAGCAACUUCUUGCUCUGUCUCCUUUACCAUCAAUGACAUCUGGCAUUUAGUAACCCAGGGUAGUCCUGGGUAUAUUAGUUCCAAAUGGCAGCACUCUGUCCCUCCUCAGAGCAUGUACCAGAUUCUGACCACAAAAUCAACUUGAGGAACACUGAAGUAAUAUCAUCUUUGAGGAUGUGCUGCUUUAAAAGUUAAAAUAAAAAUAUGAGAUGUCACA
ensembl:lncRNA